rnacentral:lncRNA from 1 species
UUGAAUUACCAUUGCUCUCCUCUAACUAUUGGUUCAUCAACUAAUACUUAAGUUUGGGGAGAGGCGAUUUAAAGAUCUAAAGUCAUUACAUUCAGAAUCAGAAUCCGAUCGCAAAGCAUAACCAAUUGAUAUCCAACAUCUAAGUAAAAAACAAAUUAAAUCAUCACAAAAAUUAUAAGCAUAAAACAAAAUCAUAACAUAAAAAAUCCCAUUGAUCAAUCCAACAACAUCAAAUUACAUUUUUGUUUCAUCAACUCAAUACCAUAACAUCUAGUCCUACACCACCACAACUUCUAAGAAAAAAUAACUUAGAUGAACUUACAAUUUUAAUCGUCUUUCACGGUUCUUCAGCAAAGACAGUGACUUUGAUAACGGAGCCAUUUUUAACACCAUAUGUAGACAAAGUCUGAUCACCCUUCAUUUCAACAGAAUUAUGGCUUAGUAACAUAUAGUCACUUCCCCAUACCUUUUUCACAAUUUUGAUCAAAUCUUUCACUUUAUCACUUGCUUUCACUUCAACAUAAAAUUCAGAAGUUGGUGACUCCACUUUCACUUUGAUUUUUUGUUCUGCUCUAGCCAUCUAGGGUUAAAAAAAAAUGGGGAAAAAUUGUUGAUAAAAUAAUGAAAAGGGUACAAGAUUUUUAUAGAGAAAAUUUAGUUUUACUCAAAAGCCAGCUGUAUCCUAGGCAUAAUAUAUAUAAAUAGACAAAAAGUUGUCAAAGAUAAAGACAAAUUAAAACAUUGGCUUAAAUGUUUUUUGAUUUGGUUGGUUGGUAUUUUGAAUUAUUUUAUCUCUUUAGAUAAAAAAGAAAU